rnacentral:rRNA from 1 species
UCCGUUGGUGAACCAGCGGAGGGAUCAUUACUGAGUUUACGCUCUAUAACCCUUUGUGAACAUACCUAUAACUGUUGCUUCGGCGGGUAGGGUCUCCGCGACCCUCCCGGCCUCCCGCCCCCGGGCGGGUCGGCGCCCGCCGGAGGAUAACCAAACUCUGAUUUAACGACGUUUCUUCUGAGUGGUACAAGCAAAUAAUCAAAACUUUUAACAACGGAUCUCUUGGUUCUGGCAUCGAUGAAGAACGCAGCGAAAUGCGAUAAGUAAUGUGAAUUGCAGAAUUCAGUGAAUCAUCGAAUCUUUGAACGCACAUUGCGCCCGCCAGCAUUCUGGCGGGCAUGCCUGUUCGAGCGUCAUUUCAACCCUCAAGCUCUGCUUGGUGUUGGGGCCCUACAGCUGAUGUAGGCCCUCAAAGGUAGUGGCGGACCCUCCCGGAGCCUCCUUUGCGUAGUAACUUUACGUCUCGCACUGGGAUCCGGAGGGGCUCUUGCCGUAAAACCCCCCAAUUUUCCAAAGGUUGACCUCGGAUCAGGUAGGAAUACCCGCUGAACUUA